UGUACUACUCAGAGUUUGAUCCUGGCUCAGGAUGAAUGCUGGCGGCGUGCCUAACACAUGCAAGUCGAGCGGUAACAGGAGUAGUUUACUACUUGCUGACGAGCGGCGGACGGCUGAGUAACGCGUGGGAACAUACCCCAAAGUGAGGGAUAAGCUCCAGAAAUGGAGUCUAAUACCGCAUAUGAUCUUCGGAUUAAAGGAUUUAUCCGCUUUGGGAGUGGCCUGCGUACGACUAGAUAGUUGGUGAGGUAAUGGCUUACCAAGUCUACGAUCGUUAGCUGGUCUGAGAGGAUGACCAGCCAGACUGGAACUGAGACACGGUCCAGACUCCUACGGGAGGCAGCAGUGAGGAAUCUUCCACAAUGGGCGAAAGCCUGAUGGAGCAACGCCGCGUGCAGGAUGAAGGCCUUCGGGUCGUAAACUGCUUUUAUAAGUGAAGAAUAUGACGGUAACUUAUGAAUAAGCACCGGCUAACUACGUGCCAGCCGCCGCGGUAAU
rnacentral:rRNA from 1 species